UGGGGAAUAUUGGGCAAUGGGCGCAAGCCUGACCCAGCAACGCCGCGUGAAGGAAGAAGGCCCUCGGGUUGUAAACUUCUUUUAUCAAGGACGAAGCAAGUGACGGUACUUGAUGAAUAAGCCACGGCUAACUACGUGCCAGCAGCCGCGGUAAUACGUAGGUGGCAAGCGUUAUCCGGAUUUACUGGGUGUAAAGGGCGUGUAGGCGGGACUGCAAGUCAGAUGUGAAAACCAUGGGCUCAACCCAUGGCCUGCAUUUGAAACUGUAGUUCUUGAGUGUUGGAGAGGCAGGCGGAAUUCCGUGUGUAGCGGUGAAAUGCGUAGAUAUACGGAGGAACACCAGUGGCGAAGGCGGCCCUGCUAGACAAUAACUGACGCUGAGGCGCGAAAGCGUGGGGAGCAAACAGGAUUAGAUACC
rnacentral:rRNA from 1 species